UUGGAUCACCUCCUAACAGGGGGACAAACAACGAUUUUGAUGCCUGAGUGCUUUUAUUCUUAGGCCGAAAUCCUGUCACCUUAGGUCGAUCGGUACCUCAGCUUUGAAGUCAAGAAUUUGUAGAAAUGCAGAUUGCUUGAUGGAGAUUCUUAGUUCCUAAACUUUGUCUAGGUCACACCCCACAAGGGAUGAGACUCCUGGGCCAUUAGCUCAGGUGGUUAGAGCGCACCCCUGAUAAGGGUGAGGUCCCUGGUUCAAGUCCAGGAUGGCCCAUUCGGUGUUGGGGGUUUAGCUCAGUUGGUAGAGCGCCUGCUUUGCAAGCAGGAUGUCAGGAGUUCGAGUCUCCUAACCUCCACUGACCGAACUUUGUCCCCAACUUCAUUGUAUGGAGUUGAGCUCGAAUGGAGUGUGAUUUAGAUGUGUCCGCUGGAAGGAUCCUAGCUUCCUGUCAUUCUAAGGAUUGAUUUGAAUCAUUUUGAUUUUGAUCGAUGUUUAGUUGAUAAGAUGCUGGGCUCAAACUGAGCAAUCAGUUUGAAGUUCUAGCAGAACCUUGACAACUGCAUAGGUGAGUCUGGAAAGAAUAAAGCAUCUCAUGGAUGCAUCAUUCUUUUUUGGAUGAUGUUUGAUUCUUGAGCAAGAGCCGAGACUCCAUCACGUUCUUUCGAUUGUGUCGAGCAAUUGCGAGUUUGAUUCUUGAUUCAACAAUGAAUCAGGGAGAAUCUGUUUCAACGACAGCAAGCGUGUUGGAGAUUAUAUGGUCAAGCUACAAAGAGCUCACGGCGGAUACCUUGGCACACAGAGGCGAUGAAGGGGCACACAGAGGCGAUGAAGGGGCACACAAGGCGAUGAAGGA
rnacentral:tRNA from 1 species